CCUCCUCAUCUGUCAGCUUCUCACCAAGAUUUGUCAUAACAUGGCGAAGUUCAGCAGCAGAAAUGAAGCCAUUCUGAUCCUUAUCAAAAACCCGGAAAGCUUCCUUGAGCUCUUCCUCAGAAUCAGUGUCCUUCAUCUUGCGGGCCAUCAGAUUAAGGAACUCCGGGAAAUCAAUAGUACCAUUCCCAUCAGCAUCAACCUCAUUUAUCAUGUCCUGGAGCUCUGCUUCAGUUGGGUUUUGGCCCAGUGAUCGCAUUACAGUCCCAAGUUCCUUAGUAGU
rnacentral:misc_RNA from 1 species